GACAGGCAGCCGGGCGGGCUUCGGGGAGGUCCCGGGGAAGUUCCUCCCUCCUACGGUGGGCCCGGUGCCGCGAGGCACGUGGGGAAACCCUCGGCAACGCCACAGAGACGAAACCCCUCCGGCAAGAUGCGGUAUGAAGCGGGAAGUUCCGCUGACGACUGCCGGAGAGCGGAUGAAACGGGCGUCCCGGGCGGAGAAAGUGGCCGGGGCGUUGAGCGCCACCGUCGAGCCCCGGAGGUACGAGAAGACGGAUCCCGCCUAAAACAGAAGGAGGGCUACGGGCUGUCGGUC
rnacentral:RNase_P_RNA from 1 species